rnacentral:rRNA from 1 species
UCGAGCGGUAGAGAGAAGCUUGCUUCUCUUGAGAGCGGCGGACAGGUGAGUAAUGCCUAGGAAUCCGCCUAGUGGUGGGGGAUAACGUUCGGAAACGGACGCUAAUACCGCAUACGUCCUACGGGAGAAAGCGGGGGAUCUUCGGACCUCGCGCCAUUAGAUGAGCCUAGGUCGGAUUAGCUAGUUGGUGAGGUAAUGGCUCACCAAGGCGACGAUCCGUAACUGGUCUGAGAGGAUGAUCAGUCACACUGGAACUGAGACACGGUCCAGACUCCUACGGGAGGCAGCAGUGGGGAAUAUUGGACAAUGGGCGAAAGCCUGAUCCAGCCAUGCCGCGUGUGUGAAGAAGGUCUUCGGAUUGUAAAGCACUUUAAGUUGGGAGGAAGGGCAGUAACCUAAUACGUUAUUGUUUUGACGUUACCGACAGAAUAAGCACCGGCUAACUUCGUGCCAGCAGCCGCGGUAAUACGAAGGGUGCAAGCGUUAAUCGGAAUUACUGGGCGUAAAGCGCGCGUAGGUGGUUCAGUAAGUUGGAAGUGAAAUCCCCGGGCUCAACCUGGGAACUGCUUUCAAAACUGCUGAGCUAGAGUACGGUAGAGGGUGGUGGAAUUUCCUGUGUAGCGGUGAAAUGCGUAGAUAUAGGAAGGAACACCAGUGGCGAAGGCGACCACCUGGACUGAUACUGACACUGAGGUGCGAAAGCGUGGGGGGCAAACAGGAUUAGAUACCCUGGUAGUCCACGCCGUAAACGAUGUCAACUAGCCGUUGGGAGUCUUGAACUCUUAGUGGCGCAGCUAACGCAUUAAGUUGACCGCCUGG